rnacentral:rRNA from 1 species
GACCUCCCGAAACUAAGCGAGCUACUCCAAAGCAGCUUCAAAGAGCCAACCCAUCCCUGUAGCAAAAGAGUGGGAAGACUUUAGAGUAGAGGUGACACACCUACCGAGCUUAGAGAUAGCUGGUUAUUCAAGAAAAGGAUUUUAGUCCACCUUUAAGUUUUUCAAGUACCAAUAAACAUCUAACAAACUUAAAAGUCAUUCAAAUAAGGUACAGCCUAUUUGAAAAAGGAAACAGCCUAUGACACAGGGUAAUGACUUAUUCAUGUGACCAAGUCGGCCUAAAAGCAGCUAACUUCCAAAAAGCGUCCAAGCUUUAUCACAAACCAUCAUCAAUUCCACACCUAACUCAUAACCCGCAACCACUAUUGAAUGACCCCAUACCCGUAUGGAAAUCAUCAUGCUAGAACUAGUAACAAGAAGAAGAACUUCUCCAAAAUGUAAGCGUAAGCCAAAAUGAACCACUCACCGGCAUUUACCCUGCAUCUACAGUAUUAACACUACAAGAAAACCAUACUCUAAUUAACGUUAACCUUACACUAGAACAUUUCUGGAAAGAUAAAAAGAGGGGGAAGGAACUCGGCAAACAUUAGCC